GACGAACGCUGGCGGCGUGCUUAACACAUGCAAGUCGAACGAAGUGGCGAACGGGUGAGUAACGCGUAAUCAACCUGCCCUUCAGAGGGGGAAAACAGUUGGAAAAGACUGCUAAUACCGCAUACUGAAGGCGGGGAUUGCGGCUGAUUAGCAAGUUGGAGGGGUAACGGCCCACCAAGGCGAUGAGUAGUAGCCGGUCUGGGAGGUGGAGCGGCCACAUUGGGACUGAGACACGGCCCAGACUCAUACGGGAGGCAGCAGUGGGGAAUCGUCCGCAAUGGGCGAAAGUCUGACGGAGCAACGCCGCGUGAGUGAUGACGGCCUUCGGGUUGUAAAGCUCUGUUAAUCGGGACGCGGUACCGGAAUAGAAAGCCACGGCUAACUACGUGCCAGCAGCCGCGGUAAUUC
rnacentral:rRNA from 1 species